rnacentral:ncRNA from 1 species
AAAUUUUUAUGUUUUAGAAAAUUUAUUAUGUGUUUAUUUUACAUAUAAAUUUUAGUAUGAAAUUUUAAUUAUUUAAAUAAUAUUAAUAAAAAUUAUAGUAAUUAAAAUUAAAAAUUUAAGAGAUUAAGAUUUAGUAAUAUAAAAAUUAAUAACUAAUUUUGUGCCAGCAGUUGCGGUUAUACAAAAAUUAAAUUAAAUUAUUUCAGUAUUUAAUAAAUAAAAUAAAAUUAAAAUAAAUAUUAAAUUAUUGGGUAAAAUUUUAAUUUAGUUAAAUUUUAAGUUAAUUUUAUGAUUUAAUAAAUUUAAUAAUAAACUAGGAUUAGAUACCCUAUUAUUAAAAAUUUAAUUUAAAAUACUAAAAUAGUAGAUAAUAAAUAUUGAAACUUAAAUAAUAUGGCGGUAUUUUAGUUCAUUUAGAGGAAUCUGUCUAAUAAUUGAUAAUCCACGAAUAAAUUUACUUAAUUUAGUAUUUUAUAUAUCGUUGUUAAAAAAAUAUUUUAUAAUAAAAAUAAUAUUUGAAAAUUUUUAAAAUAAAUUAAUUCAGAUCAAGAUGUAGAUUAUAAUUAAGAAUAUGAUGGAUUACAAUAAAAUAAUUUAUAAUGAAUAAUUUAAUUUUAAAAUUAAUUUAAAGGUGGAUUUAAAUGUAAUUUUAAUUAAUUUAUUAAAAUGAUUAAAAAUUGGGAUAUGUACAUAUUGCCCGUCACUUUCAUUUUAAAAUUGAAAUAAGUCGUAACAAAGUAGAAGUACUGGAAAGUGUUUCUAGAAUGAA